UUUAUGAUAUAAGANGUGUGCAUUUACAUAUGUGUGCAUAUAUGUGUAUGUUAAUAUAUACUUGUGUGUGUGUAUGUGUGGGUGUACGGGUGCGAAGAAUUAUUAAAAUUUAAAAAGUUUGGCGGUCUCACAUAUCCAGUUAGGGGAGUUUGUUAAUUAGGUUGAUAAUCCACGAUUUAGACUUACUUUUUUAUGAAUAUAUAUAUAUAUAUAUAUAUAUAUAUAUACAGUUUGUGUAUUGCCGUCGGAAGUUUUUUUUUUAAGAUUAAAAACUGGUAAAUGUUAUCGAUUUAUAUGUCAAGUCAUAAUGCAGUUGAUAAAAAAGGUUUAAUGGGCUACUGUAAAAAAUCUUUUUCCGGAUAAUAGGAUUAAUUAUGUUAGAAAGGUGGACUUAAUAGUAAANNAUAANNAG
rnacentral:rRNA from 1 species